UCCCUGGUGGUCUAGCGGCUAAGGUACCGCUGUCUCAAUGCCACGGCCCGAGUUCGAUUCCUGGGCAGGGAA